rnacentral:lncRNA from 1 species
UAACUGACAUUAUCUUAAAUAUAUUAAAAAUGAGAGGAUUUUUAAUCAUUUUUGCCGUCAUAAUGGCACUCUUUUCGUUGACUUCAGCAUUGCAAGUCGAUGCCGAAGACCAGCCAGGACUAGACCGUAUAAAGCGUGAAGAUUGUGAUUUCCGCGACUGUGACCAGUUCUGCAGACGCGUCGGCUUGCCUGGAGGAGCCUGCGUCAGGAAUAGAUGCGACUGUGACAGAUUUUGAUAAAACUAUUGUCUCGUAACCUAUUAAUUACCAAGAGCCAUACCAAUGUGACGCCAUACUUAAAUUAAAUUAUAUUUUAUUUAUUUAUUGCA